AUAGCGUAUAUUAAAGUUGUUGCAGUUAAAAAGCUCGUAGUUGGACUUUAGGCAAGGUGGCUGGGUCUGCCGUCAGGCAGUACUCGGUUCGCCGCGCCUCAACCUUCGGGGAGACAUGUGGGGCAACUCGCAUGUGGAACCGAGCUUUACUUUGAGGAAAUUAGAGUGUUUAAAGCAGGCUAACGCUUGAAUACUUCAGCAUGGAAUAACAAGAUAGGACUUUGGUUCUAUUUUGUUGGUUUGAGGACCAAAGUAAUGAUUAAUAGGGACAGUUGGGGGCAUUAGUAUUCAGUAGUCAGAGGUGAAAUUCUUGGAUUUACUGAAGACUAACUAAUG
rnacentral:rRNA from 1 species